rnacentral:rRNA from 1 species
CACGUGGAUAACCUGCCCUAAGGUGGAGCAUAACCCCGGGAAACUGGGGAUAAUACUCCAUAGGUUAUGGAUGCUGGAAUGCUUCAUAACUCAAAGCUCCGGCGCCUUAGGAUGGAUCUGCGGUCGAUUAGGUUGUUGUUGGGGUAACGGCCCAACAAGCCUGUAAUCGAUACGGGUUGUGGGAGCAAGAGCCCGGAGAUGGAAUCUGAGACACGAUUCCAGGCCCUACGGGGCGCAGCAGGCGCGAAAACUUUACAAUGCAGGAAACUGUGAUAAGGGAACCCCGAGUGCCCGUAUACGCGGGCUGUCCAGGUGUGUAAAAAGCACCUGAAGAAAGGGCCGGGCAAGACCGGUGCCAGCCGCCGCGGUAAUACCGGCGGCUCGAGUGGUGGCCACUUUUAUUGGGCUUAAAGCGUCCGUAGCUGGACUCCUAAGUCCCUUGGGAAAUCUCUUGGCUUAACCAAGAGGCGUCUAAAAGAUACUGGGAGUCUAGGGACCGGGAGAGGUGAGAGGUACUCCGGGGGUAGGAGUGAAAUCCUGUAAUCCCCGGGGGACCACCUGUGGCGAAGGCGUCUCACCAGAACGG